rnacentral:rRNA from 1 species
AAAUUGAAGAGUUUGAUCAUGGCUCAGAUUGAACGCUGGCGGCAGGCCUAACACAUGCAAGUCGAACGGUAACAGGAAGCAGCUUGCUGCUUCGCUGACAAGUGGCGGACGGGUGAGUAAUGUCUGGGAAACUGCCUGAUGGAGGGGGAUAACUACUGGAAACGGUGGCUAAUACCGCAUGACGUCGCAAGACCAAAGAGGGG